rnacentral:lncRNA from 1 species
AUCUGAUUCAUGACAUGCCUAGUAUCCAAGUGUUUGGAGAGAAAAGUGAAACGAGCAAGCCUGUCGAUGGUGAUGAUGAAGAUGGCAAUGAAGAUGGGGACGGAGAAGAGGACGGUGCUGUCGGGGAGGGUGACGAAGAACCAUCUGAGGAUGACGGGGAGGGAUACGAGAACCCCAAUAAUAACAGUGGCAAGAAAGCCCCUGGCGACGGUGCUGGUGGUGAAGAAAACGGAGAGGAUGAUGAUGAAGAGGCCGAGGAUCCAGAGGACGGGGAUGACGACGACGAUGAUGAAGAAGAUGAGGAUGACGAUGAUGGUGGAGAGGACGAGGACGAGGGUGUGGAAGACGACGAGGAGAACGAGGAUGAAGAGGAAGACGACGAGGAAGAGGAGCUUCAACCUCCUAAGAAGAGGAAGAAGUGAGCGUGGUCGAAGUCGGGCUCGGUUUUAGUUGUAGCUUCUCUUGCUCUUUCGCAGUUCAGUCCGUUCGACCUCGCCGUGUGCCCUAACCCUGGUUUCAUUUCAGGAUUCAUAACGACAGACCGUUGUGGUGUUGGCCUAUGUAGGAGUACUAUUUCCUAAUGCAUCAGAGAGAACUUUGUCAAAUUUUGAUUUGUCUCUCUCAGUUAUUUAAGCUAACAAACUCUAAACUAUGCUGCUUCAAUUUGGUAUCAGAUUUUAACAAUGUAGUCAAAUGCAGCUCACUUUUCCCUC